GUCAGAUGAAAGAAAAUGUGCAGAGCUGUGGGUCAUCGGGACCAGGACUAAUAUCCAGAGCUCAACCUGCUGACACUUUCUAGCGGAUCCCGCGCUGCAGACGCGUUAACAGUUCGCGGCUUCUCCUCUCAGAGACUCACAAAGGAAAUACCUAUCAGACGCUCGCAUCAUUCCAGCGGACCGAACCGAAGCGGAUCCGGAUUCGGGCAACAGGAGGAUCUCAGACACAGUCCAACUGGAUGUCACAUCGCGCUUUCCAUGGUGCUGAAAUGAUCUGAUCUAAUCUCAGCCCGGAUCAUCAUCAUCACCAUCAUCAUCAUCAUCUGCACAGCAGGAUUGUCCUUUAUUCUGAGCUGUGAUGCUGUUCAUGGAUUGUAAGAUGGUGGAUAUUCUACGCGGUCGGAGAAGGUUGCGGGUGUCCGUCUGUAAGCCGCCCUGCUCCUUCUGGUUUCUACUGCUGUUUGGAGUUGGAGGACUCGUUCUCUUCAUCCACCUGCAGGAUCUGUCCGAUAUGGUGCUUCAGCAGGCUCCAGAUCCGUGCUGGACUGGAUGCUUCUCUCGCUUCGACCGGGAAAGGGCUCUUAUCUGACAGGAGAUGAUGUAUGCUGGCUGCAGGAAACUGGGCCGCUCCUUGCUUUAAUUGGGUCUCGUACCGAAACUCAGCCGUGCUGGAGAUUUCAGACAGGUCGGAUGGGGAACACAGCCAACAUCGUUCACUGUUUUGCUAAAAGUGGAAUAUGCAUCGUCAGGGAGUGCCUGAAAAUAACAUUUGUAAUGAUAAUUUUAGAAAGACUGUGUCAGAGUACACUCCAGGGAGUCUUUUUAGAGAUGGAAAAAUGUGCAGUGAACAGGUGCAGUUAUUACACGCAGCAUGCAUCUGCAUCGCUUGCUUAAUUAGCGAUUGAAAUUAAAAUUUGACUUUUGUGCCUUACUGCACAACUACUGUUUAAAAGUUCAGAGUUUAUGUUUGUCUCUUCUGCUCAGGAAGGCUGAAUUUAUUUGAUUAAAAAUACUGUAAAAAAUGUAAAAUAUUAUUACAAUUUAAAAUACAUGUUUUCUGUGUGAAUAUAUUGUAGAAUAUAAUUUAUUUCUGUGAUUAAAGCUGAAUUUUCAGCAUCAUUACUCCAGUCUUCAGUGUCACAUGAUCAUUCAGAAAUCAUUCUAAUAUGCUGAUUUGCUGCUCGAGAAACAUUGCUGAUUAUUAUCACAGUUGUGCUGCUCAAUAUUUGUGUGGAAACAGUGAUACAUUUUAUAUUUUUAGAAUUCUUUGAUAAAUAGAAUGUUCAAAAAACAGCAUUUAUUUAUAACAUUAUUAACUGUCACUUUUGAUCAAUUUAAUGCUGAAUAAAAGUAUUAAUAAAAUCCUACUGACUUCAAACCUUUGAACAGUAGUGUAUAUGCUAGUGCACUUCUAAAAGCUGACUUCACUUUUAAUGCACUUUAAAUUAAGUAUGCAAGAAGUGCCAAGCAAGUAAAUCAUGAUUCAUGGCUGUGAUCAAACUAGAGCCUAUUCUGUGAGAAACGCCAUUGUGUGUCUCACCAAACCUCCUGAAUCAACAGAAAAUACAGCACUACUAAAGGAAGUUCACAAGGUCUUUAAAGCAGUAGUUCAUACAAAAAUAAAAAAGCUGUCAUCAUUUACUCACCUUCAUGUCGUUCCAUAUGAGUUUCUUUCUUCUGUGGAACACAAAGAUAGAUAGAUAGAUAGAUAGAUAGAUAGCGUGUGAGCGGCGCUCAGAUCUGUGAGGAAAUGAAGGUGGUGAGUCAGGCCAGUGCGUCUGUGAGGAAUUUAGU